rnacentral:piRNA from 1 species
CUGAGGAUAAUCUUGAGCUUUCUG